GCAUGCGUAAAAUUGUGGUCUUGCGAGAAUGAGGUUCUUCGAAAAAGCGAGGCGGGGCUAAAAGGAUAAAAAGGCCACGUGCGCCGGCGUUCCCUUCUGUUUCAAAUGGCGGCCAGCUGCAGAUUUUGUAGAUGUGAUUAUACCAGAUCCUGGAAACUGGAAGUUACUAGCAAACCACAUGCAGAUCCAGAUAGAUGUUUUUGCAAAUGGAAGACGUGAGGCUAUUCUACAUAUGGAAUGGUUGAAGCCUGCCUCAGACUUAAUUCUCUGCCUGAGUUCUUCUCCUGGCUUGGAAUAAGAUAUAAACCGGAUUUAACCUCCACCAGAACCUUACAAAGAGAAGAAUUGACAGAGCAGAGAAAGAAGGUGAUCUACACUUUGCCUCCUGGAAUAGACUGGCCUUCUUUUCCUAUUAUGCCUUCUCCAAAUGUCUUCUGCCUUGAGAGACUGAGGAUCUCAUAGUGGAAGGUAAAAGUGAAAUGUUACACAGUUGCUGGUAGGUGUAAUGUGAGCCAGGCUCUUCUGGAAUGUACGAAUGUAGCCUACUAGGACCCUUAAGAGGCUGUUGACUGAACCAAAUUGGCGGGAGCGUCGAAGAAGUCUACGUGGAGGACCUUCUUCCCCAAGAAGAAAUAUAACUCGGAAAUUUUCCUGGAUCCAUUGUUUGGGAUGGGAGGGAUUUGCCGUUGUUUAUCCAUUACACCCCUUAUUCUGUUUUUCAUGCAGAAAGAAGUGAGAGGCUUACUUAUCAGAUCCUAGCGGGUUUACUUUCUUACUCAAUAAACACUUCAUUGAUGGAUGAAUAA